CUUUCGCAGCAGAGAUGGCACAAACUUGUAAGGCUAAUUCAGAAGUUUUGCUCAUAACUGAACACUAAGGGGAGAUGUGUGGAACCACUCAGUGUCUUCACAUUUGGUUGAAGUGUUUAGAUAUCUACGCUCCUCGGAAGCCUGCUCCUCUCAAACCUGUGCUCACUUGUUGUGAUGGGCGUUGGUUACAUCCAGUAUUGGUUCAGGAAUGCAGCAGUCAUCUUCAGACUCAGGAGCAUUGUGGAAGAAGUCCCUGAAAUUAACACAUGAGCCAAAGGAAAGGAAGAAGGCAUGGUGCAGUGCAAGGAAAGGAAGAAGACAUGGUGCAGUGCAAGGAAAGGAAGAAGACAUGCUGCAGUGCAAGGAAAGGAAGAAGACAUGCUGCAGUGCAAGGAAAGGAAGAAGACAUGGUGCAGUGCAAGGAAAGGAAGAAGACAUGGUGCAGUGCAAGGAAAGGAAGAAGACAUGGUGCAGUGCAAAGAAAGGAAGAAGACAUGGUGCAGUGCAAAGAAAGGAAGAA